rnacentral:rRNA from 1 species
UAGCUACUGAAUCAUUAUGAGUCAUUAAUUUGGUGAUUAUGAUAACAUAAGGGAAAAAAAAUGAUAUUACCUUAUUAUUAGUGUUGUCCAAAACUGGUGCCAGAAGACUCGGUAAGACCAGAGACGCAAACGUUAGUCAUCUUAAUCAGGCGUAAAGGGUGUGUAGGCUGCUUUAAAAGUUUAAAUCUUUUUAAUAGCUCUUUUGCCGUUGUCAUACCAUUAUUUUUUUGUUUUUGUUUUUUGUUUUAUAAAUAAUAAACAAAAAUGAAUAUAAAGGUAGUACAUUUUAUAAAUUUAAUUAAUUUAAUUAAUUUAAUUAAUUUAAUUUUAUAAUUAUAAAGGGGACAAAAAAGAUAUCCCGGUUUAAGUAAAAAGAAUAAAAUGAAUUAAAGCUAGGAUCAAAUUGAGGAUAAACCAAAUAAUACUUAGAGUAGGGCCGAUAUCCGCAGAUACUAAGGGGAAUACUAAAGGUGAAAGCUUUUUAUCUACUAUUGAUUGACGCUGAGAAACGAAGGUGAGAACAGGAAAUAGGAUUUGAUACCCAGAUACCUCUCACUGUCAACGAUGAAUGGUGGUUGUUAGUUUUAAUAAAAACUGGUAACGAUGUUAACACGAUAACCAUUCCGCCUUGCGAGUACGGUUGCAAAACUGAAACCAAAAAAAUUAGUCGGUU